rfam:Triticum aestivum genome assembly, contig: Triticum_aestivum_CS42_TGACv1_scaffold_194964_3AL
UCUGUACUCCCUCCGAUCCAUAUUACUUGUCGCUCAAACGGAUGUAUCUAGACGUAUUUAAGUGUUAGAUACAUCUGUUUGAGCGACACCGACAAAUAAUAUGGAUCGGAGGGAGUACUUU